rnacentral:snRNA from 1 species
GUGCUUCGGCAGCACAUAUACUAAAAUUGGACCAAUUCAGGGAAGAUUAGUACGGCCCCUGCACAAGGAUGACACGCAAAUUCGUGAAGCAUUCCAUAUUUAA